UGGGGAAUCUUGCGCAAUGCGCGAAAGCGUGACGCAGCAACGCCGCGUGGGGGAAGAAGGCCUUCGGGUUGUAAACCCCUUUCAGUUGGGACGAAGCUCCGUCGGUGAAUAGCCGGCUGGAGUGACGGUACCUUCACAAGAAGCCCCGGCUAACUACGUGCCAGCAGCCGCGGUAAUACGUAGGGGGCUAGCGUUGUCCGGAAUCAUUGGGCGUAAAGAGCGUGUAGGCGGCCCGGUAAGUCCGCUGUGAAAGUCGGGGGCUAAACCCUCGAAAGCCGGUGGAUACUGUCGGGCUAGAGUGCGGAAGAGGCGAGUGGAAUUCCUGGUGUAGCGGUGAAAUGCGCAGAUAUCAGGAGGAACACCGAUUGCGAAGGCAGCUCGCUGGGACGUAACUGACGCUGAGACGCGAAAGCGUGGGGAGCAAACAGG
rnacentral:rRNA from 1 species